UUAAGUAGACCUUUUAAAAAUUCUUCACAUAUAUCACUACAGCAGAAUUAGGUUAUAGGAACACAUGUUUGAGACACUUUUGUAUAAGUGUCCCAUUUAUGUCAAAACUUAAAAAAAAAAUCUACUAAUGACUAAAUAUAAACCUCAAUUCAAUCAAAAAUAAAAGGUUACUCUACUCAACCCAUCCCAUCCAACCCAUUCGGCCCGAUUAUAAACAAAAAAGAAAAAAAAAAAGAAAAAUCGAUUACCAUAUCUCCUUCUCCCUUUACUCAAUUUACUGAAAUCCUAGACGAAGAGCCCUUCCCUCUCGUCUUCCUCCGCCACUGCAGCCAACGAGAUAGAGUUCUGGUAGUUGCUAAAUACUUAAAUAAGCGUUGGUAAAUUAGCAGCACUUUUUUAGGUUAUAGCGACACUCUUUAACUGUCACUAUAUACCUAGCGACCCCACAUAUAGCAACACUUUUUAAAAGUGUCGGUAAUUUAGCCAGCAGCACUUUUUUUGACCAGUACCGAUAUUUAAAAGUGUCGCUAUAGACCGUUUUUGUUGUAGUGUAUUUUUUGGCAUAAAAAAUUUUAAAUGUUUCUUUUUUUA
rnacentral:lncRNA from 1 species